rnacentral:rRNA from 1 species
CCUACGGGAGGCAGCAGUGAGGAAUAUUGGGCAAUGGACGAGAGUCUGAACCAGCCAAGUAGCGUGAAGGAUGACUGCCCUCUGGGUUGUAAACUUCUUUUAUAUGGGAAUAAAAUGUUCCACGUGUGGGAUUUUGUAUGUACCAUAUGAAUAAGGAACGGCUAACUCCGUGCCAGCAGCCGCGGUAAUACGGAGGAUCCGAGCGUUAUCCGGAUUUAUUGGGUUUAAAGGGAGCGUAGGGGGAUUGUUAAGUCAGUUGUGAAAGUUUGCGGCUCAACCGUGAAAUUGCCGUUGAAACUGGCUGUCUUGAGUACAGGAGAGGUGGGCGGAAUUCGCGGUGUAGCGGUGAAAUGCUUAGAUAUUGCGAAGAACUCCGAUUGCGAAGGCAGUUCACUGGACUGCAACUGACACUGAGGCUCGAAAGUGUGGGUAUCAAACAGGAUUAGAUACCCGAGUAGUC